UAUAACAACAAAAUAAUAAAA
rnacentral:piRNA from 1 species